rnacentral:lncRNA from 1 species
UAGCUCCUUCUCUUAUUGGGUAUACUCUUCCUCUCUUUUCCCCUCAAUCUCUCAUUCCCCACCAUGAUUUUUCUCUUACCCUCUUUUUCUUUUUCUUUCUUCUUCUUUUCUUCUUUGGUGCAGUUGUUUCUCUUGUUUUCUUUCUCAUAAGCAUGGGUAAGCCCUAAACCAUCUUUGCGCUUAGUUGAUUUAAAUUUGAGAGUUAACUAUUA